rnacentral:rRNA from 1 species
UACGGAGGGAGCUAGCGUUGUUCGGAAUUACUGGGCGUAAAGCGCGCGUAGGCGGCUUUGUAAGUUAGAGGUGAAAGCCCGGGGCUCAACUCCGGAACUGCCUUUAAGACUGCAUCGCUUGAAUCCGGGAGAGGUGAGUGGAAUUCCGAGUGUAGAGGUGAAAUUCGUAGAUAUUCGGAAGAACACCAGUGGCGAAGGCGGCUCACUGGACCGGUACUGACGCUGAGGAGCGAAAGCGUGGGGAGCAAACAGG